rnacentral:rRNA from 1 species
GACGAACGCUGGCGGCGCGCCUAACACAUGCAAGUCGGACGGAGCUGCGAGAAGCUUGCUUUUCUUAGCUUAGUGGCGAACGGGUGAGUAACGCGUGAGUAACCUGCCCUGGAGUGGGGGACAACAGUUGGAAACGACUGCUAAUACCGCAUAAGCCCACGAUCCGGCAUCGGAUUGAGGGAAAAGGAUUUAUUCGCUUCAGGAUGGACUCGCGUCCAAUUAGCUAGUUGGUGAGGUAACGGCCCACCAAGGCGACGAUUGGUAGCCGGACUGAGAGGUUGAACGGCCACAUUGGGACUGAGACACGGCCCAGACUCCUACGGGAGGCAGCAGUGGGGGAUAUUGCACAAUGGGGGAAACCCUGAUGCAGCGACGCCGCGUGGAGGAAGAAGGUUUUCGGAUUGUAAACUCCUGUCGUUAGGGACGAUAAUGACGGUACCUAACAAGAAAGCACCGGCUAACUACGUG